rnacentral:rRNA from 1 species
GAUGAACGCUGGCGGCGUGCCUAAUACAUGCAAGUCGAGCGAACAGACGAGGAGCUUGCUCCUCUGACGUUAGCGGCGGACGGGUGAGUAACACGUGGAUAACCUACCUAUAAGACUGGGAUAACUUCGGGAAACCGGAGCUAAUACCGGAUAAUAUAUUGAACCGCAUGGUUCAAUAGUGAAAGACGGUUUUGCUGUCACUUAUAGAUGGAUCCGCGCCGCAUUAGCUAGUUGGUAAGGUAACGGCUUACCAAGGCAACGAUGCGUAGCCGACCUGAGAGGGUGAUCGGCCACACUGGAACUGAGACACGGUCCAGACUCCUACGGGAGGCAGCAGUAGGGAAUCUUCCGCAAUGGGCGAAAGCCUGACGGAGCAACGCCGCGUGAGUGAUGAAGGUGUUCGGAUCGUAAAACUCUGUUAUUAGGGAAGAACAAAUGUGUAAGUAACUAUGCACGUCUUGACGGUAACUAAUCAGAAAGCCACGGCUAACUACGUG